UUAGUUUAUUUAACUAGGAUUCAGAUUCAACAUGGUUUAGAAGAAUUUAUAAGGGGCUACUGACGGGCGCUGGCCAGGAGUCCAGGGACUCCCGACGGUCCAGUUAAAGACGGGCCCGCCAAAGCAACAAAGUAGUUAUGCACAGGGUUGGAGGUCGAGCCCAAAGGACCCUAACUCGAUAAUGAUCCUUCCGCAGGUUCACCUACGGAAA
rnacentral:misc_RNA from 1 species